rnacentral:rRNA from 2 species
UGGGGAAUAUUGCACAAUGGGCGAAAGCCUGAUGCAGCGACGCCGCGUGAGGGAUGACGGCCUUCGGGUUGUAAACCUCUUUCAGCAGGGACGAAGCGCAAGUGACGGUACCAGCAGAAGAAGCACCGGCUAACUACGUGCCAGCAGCCGCGGUAAUACGUAGGGUGCAAGCGUUGUCCGGAAUUACUGGGCGUAAAGAGUUCGUAGGCGGUUUGUCGCGUCGUUUGUGAAAACCAGCAGCUCAACUGCUGGCUUGCAGGCGAUACGGGCAGACUUGAGUACUGCAGGGGAGACUGGAAUUCCUGGUGUAGCGGUGAAAUGCGCAGAUAUCAGGAGGAACACCGGUGGCGAAGGCGGGUCUCUGGGCAGUAACUGACGCUGAGGAACGAAAGCGUGGGUAGCGAACAGG